rnacentral:rRNA from 1 species
GACGAACGCUGGCGGCGUGCUUAACACAUGCAAGUCGAACGGAAAGGCCCUGCUUUUGUGGGGUGCUCGAGUGGCGAACGGGUGAGUAACACGUGAGUAACCUGCCCUUGACUUUGGGAUAACUUCAGGAAACUGGGGCUAAUACCGGAUAGGAGCUCCUGCUGCAUGGUGGGGGUUGGAAAGUUUCGGCGGUUGGGGAUGGACUCGCGGCUUAUCAGCUUGGUGGUGGGGUAGUGUAUUACCAAGGCUUUGACGGGUAGCCGGCCUGAGAGGGUGACCGGCCACACUGGGACUGAGAUAAGGCCCAGACUCCUACGGGAGGCAGAAGUGGGGAAGAUUGCACAAUGGGCGGAAGCCUGAUGCAGCAACGCCGCGUGCGGGAUGACGGCCUUCGGGUUGUAAACCGCUUUCGCCUGUGACGAAGCGUGAGUGACGGUAAUGGGUAAAGAAGCACCGGCUAACUACGUG